UACGGAGGGGGCUAGCGUUGUUCGGAAUUACUGGGCGUAAAGCGCGCGUAGGCGGCUUUGUAAGUUAGAGGUGAGAGCCCGGAGCUCAACUCCGGAACUGCCUUUAAGACUGCAUCGCUAGAAUUGUGGAGAGGUGAGUGGAAUUCCGAGUGUAGAGGUGAAAUUCGUAGAUAUUCGGAAGAACACCAGUGGCGAAGGCGACUCACUGGACACAUAUUGACGCUGAGGUGCGAAAGCGUGGGGAGCAAACAGG
rnacentral:rRNA from 1 species